rnacentral:tRNA from 4 species
GAUCCCGUAGCUCAGUCGGUAGAGCAAUUGACUUUUAAUCAGUGUGUCGCGCGUUCGAUUCGCGCCGGGAUCA